UUGUUUGAACCGCAUGGUUCAGACAUAAAAGGUGGCUUCGGCUACCACUUACAGAUGGACCCGCGGCGCAUUAGCUAGUUGGUGAGGUAACGGCUCACCAAGGCGACGAUGCGUAGCCGACCUGAGAGGGUGAUCGGCCACACUGGGACUGAGACACGGCCCAGACUCCUACGGGAGGCAGCAGUAGGGAAUCUUCCGCAAUGGACGAAAGUCUGACGGAGCAACGCCGCGUGAGUGAUGAAGGUUUUCGGAUCGUAAAGCUCUGUUGUUAGGGAAGAACAAGUGCCGUUCAAAUAGGGCGGCACCUUGACGGUACCUAACCAGAAAGCCACGGCUAACUACGUGCCAGCAGCCGCGGUAAUACGUAGGUGGCAAGCGUUGUCCGGAAUUAUUGGGCGUAAAGGGCUCGCAGGCGGUUUCUUAAGUCUGAUGUGAAAGCCCCCGGCUCAACCCGGGGAGGGUCAUUGGAAACUGGGGAACUUGAGUGCAGAAGAGGAGAGUGGAAUUCCACGUGUAGCGGUGAAAUGCGUAGAGAUGUGGAGGAACACCAGUGGCGAAGGCGACUCUCUGGUCUGUAACUGACGCUGAGGAGCGAAAGCGUGGGGAGCGAACAGGAUUAGAUACCCUGGUAGUCCACGCCGUAAACGAUGAGUGCUAAGUGUUAGGGGGUUUCCGCCCCUUAGUGCUGCAGCUAACGCAUUAAGCACUCCGCCUGGGGAGUACGGUCGCAAGACUGAAACUCAAAGGAAUUGACGGGGGCCCGCACAAGCGGUGGAGCAUGUGGUUUAAUUCGAAGCAACGCGAAGAACCUUACCAGGUCUUGACAUCCUCUGACAAUCCUAGAGAUAGGACGUCCCCUUCGGGGGCAGAGUGACAGGUGGUGCAUGGUUGUCGUCAGCUCGUGUCGUGAGAUGUUGGGUUAAGUCCCGCAACGAGCGCAACCCUUGAUCUUAGUUGCCAGCAUUCAGUUGGGCACUCUAAGGUGACUGCCGGUGACAAACCGGAGGAAGGUGGGGAUGACGUCAAAUCAUCAUGCCCCUUAUGACCUGGGCUACACACGUGCUACAAUGGACAGAACAAAGGGCAGCGAAACCGCGAGGUUAAGCCAAUCCCACAAAUCUGUUCUCAGUUCGGAUCGCAGUCUGCAACUCGACUGCGUGAAGCUGGAAUCGCUAGUAAUCGCGGAUCAG
rnacentral:rRNA from 1 species